AUUGAACGCUGGCGGCAAGCCUAACACAUGCAAGUCGAACGAGCGGCGGACGGGUGAGUAAUGUCUGGGAAACUGCCCGAUAGAGGGGGAUAACUACUGGAAACGGUAGCUAAUACCGCAUACCAUCGGAUGUACCCAUAUGGGAUUAGCUAGUAGGUGGGGUAAAGGCUCACCUAGGCGACGAUCCCUAGCUGGUCUGAGAGGAUGACCAGCCACACUGGAACUGAGACACGGUCCAGACUCCGACGGGAGGCAGCAGUGGGGAAUAUUGCACAAUGUGCGCAAGCCUGAUGCAGCCAUGCCGCGUGUAUGAAGAAGGCCUUAGGGUUGUAAAGUACUUUCAGCGGGGAGGCGUUACCCGCAGAAGAAGCACCGGCUAACUCCGUGCCAGCAGCCGCGGUAAUAC
rnacentral:rRNA from 1 species